rnacentral:sRNA from 1 species
ACUGAGAUUAAAGCCACCACAAUUGGCUUCACACCUAAUGUUUUGUAAGGUUUUGGACGCCCUGGUGCCCGAGCAUCUAAGAAGAACUCCUACAAACCUAUACACCAGCUAGGUCUGUCUUCUUCCAGUGAUCGAGAGUGCAAGAGGCCAGUGUUUUUCUUUCAGUUUCUUCAUCCCUCCUAGAACGCCAUACCUGGGCAGCCCACCACCCACUCAUUGUGUGUUCUAGAGUCUGAAGCUCAAUUCGGAAGCUUGGUUUCUCUAGCUGAACAGGACUGCACAGAAGCCUUAUGUGCUACUCUGAGAUUCUGAUAACCCCAUGGCGGGUAGGACGGAUCCUUGAACAAUCAGAAACAGUCGUCUAAAAUGGAAGGCGCUAUUGGAAUCCGAAGCUUCACAGCUCUUCAUCUCUACUGCUACUUGUCAAUGUCAGCUUUUCUGCUCAGAUGAGAAGAUGUCCUGGGACUCAGACACCCAGGAACCACACAGCUCUGAGGCGGGACAGUGUCCCAAGGAAAGGCAUCCUGAAAUAUGGAGCCCAGGAACCACAGAGGUCUGAGAGGAAGCCUCCUCAGCAGAGGCACCGCAAUCCCCAGGGG